rnacentral:rRNA from 1 species
GAUGAACGCUGGCGGCGUGCUUAACACAUGCAAGUCGAACGAUGAAGCCCAGCUUGCUGGGUGGAUUAGUGGCGAACGGGUGAGUAACACGUGAGUAACCUGCCCUUAACUCUGGGAUAAGCCUGGGAAACUGGGUCUAAUACCGGAUAGGAGCGCCUACCGCAUGGUGGGUGUUGGAAAGAUUUAUCGGUUUUGGAUGGACUCGCGGCCUAUCAGCUUGUUGGUGAGGUAAUGGCUCACCAAGGCGACGACGGGUAGCCGGCCUGAGAGGGUGACCGGCCACACUGGGACUGAGACACGGCCCAGACUCCUACGGGAGGCAGCAGUGGGGAAUAUUGCACAAUGGGCGAAAGCCUGAUGCAGCGACGCCGCGUGAGGGAUGACGGCCUUCGGGUUGUAAACCUCUUUCAGUAGGGAAGAAGCGAAAGUGACGUUACCUGCAGAAGAAGCACCGGCUAACUACGUG